GGAUGUGACAAUACCUUGGUGGAGGGGUUGCCACAAGCGGCACCAGUGGUGCCAGUGGCAGAGGUGACACCGAUGGUGCCACUACCACAGGCGGCACCACUCCGCUUAUAAUGGGGGGACCAUUCGGCUGGUGGGUGGAGAAGAAAAGGAGAGGGAAAGGAGAAGAAAGAAAGAAAGAAAAGGAAAGGAGAAGAAAGAAAAGGAGAGAAAGAAAAAGGAAAGGAGAAGAAAGAAAAAGAAAGGAGAAGAAGAAGAGGGAAGGAAGGAAAAAGAAAGAAAAAAAAGAAGGUAAAUUUUUUUGUAUUAAUUUAUUUUUUUUUGUAAUAUUUGUGUAAAAAAUCUAUGUUAUGUA
rnacentral:lncRNA from 1 species